GAAGUGCGAUAAGCAAUGCGAAUUGCAGAAUUCCGCGAAUCAUCAGAUCUUUGAACGCAAAUGGCGCCGGAGGGAUAUCCUUUUGGCAUGUCUAUUUCAGUGUCUGAGAGGUUUCACCUAAAUCUUAAUGUGAUUGACUUGGGAGUUAGUUUUAGUUAACUUACACCCUGUCUCUCAUGAAAGAUGCGCGAGAGGAUCUUUCGGUCCAAUGAAGUGGUCACAUCACUCGUAUGUGAUUUCAUUGGGAGCACCGAAUUAUUCGUAAUCUCGUGAAAACUCAUAUUUACAAAAAUCUACAACCUGCAUCUGAGAUAGGCAAGAUCACCCGCUGAACUUAA
rnacentral:misc_RNA from 1 species